AGUGAACGCUGGCGGUAGGCCUAACACAUGCCAGUCGAACGGCAGUACAGUAAUAGCUUGCUCUUACGGGUGGCGAGUGGCGGACGGGUGAGGAAUACAUCGGAAUCUACUUUUUCGUGGGGGAUAACGUAGGGAAACUUACGCUAAUACCGCAUACGACCUACGGGUGAAAGCAGUGGAUCUUCGGACCUUGCGCGAUUGAAUGAGCCGAUGUCGGAUUAGCUAGUUGGCGGGGUAAAGGCCCACCAAGGCGACGAUCCGUAGCUGGUCUGAGAGGAUGAUCAGCCACACUGGAACUGAGACACGGUCCAGACUCCUAAGGGAGGCAGCAGUGGGGAAUAUUGGACAAUGGGCGAAAGCCUGAUCCAGCAAUACCGCGUGGGUGAAGAAGGCCUUCGGGUUGUAAAGCCCUUUUGUUGGGAAAGAAAAGCAGCAGGUUAAUACCCCGCUGUUCUGACGGUACCCAAAGAAUAAGCACCGGCUAACUUCGUG
rnacentral:rRNA from 1 species